UGGGGAUGACGUCAAGUCCUCAUGGCCUUUAUGCUUAGGGCUACACACGUGCUACAAUGGGUGGUACAAAGAGCAGCCAACUCGCGAGAGCGCGCUAAUCUCAAAAAGCCAUCCUCAGUUCGGAUUGGAGUCUGCAACUCGACUCCAUGAAGUUGGAAUCGCUAGUAAUCGCGGAUCAGCAUGCCGCGGUGAAUACGUUCCCGGGCCUU
rnacentral:rRNA from 1 species